AUUGAACGCUGGCGGCAUGCCUUAUACAUGCAAGUCGAACGGUAACAGGUCUUCGGAUGCUGACGAGUGGCGAACGGGUGAGUAAUACAUCGGAACGUGCCUAGUAGUGGGGGAUAACUACUCGAAAGAGUGGCUAAUACCGCAUGAGAUCUACGGAUGAAAGCAGGGGAUCGCAAGACCUUGUGCUACUAGAGCGGCCGAUGGCAGAUUAGGUAGUUGGUGGGAUAAAAGCUUACCAAGCCGACGAUCUGUAGCUGGUCUGAGAGGACGAUCAGCCACACUGGGACUGAGACACGGCCCAGACUCCUACGGGAGGCAGCAGUGGGGAAUUUUGGACAAUGGGCGCAAGCCUGAUCCAGCAAUGCCGCGUGCAGGAUGAAGGCCUUCGGGUUGUAAACUGCUUUUGUACGGAACGAAAAGCCCUGGGUUAAUACCCUGGGGUCAUGACGGUGCCGUAAGAAUAAGCACCGGCUAACUACGUGCCAGCCGCCGCAGUAAUAC
rnacentral:rRNA from 1 species